CGGGCCGGGCCGGCAGCCCCUCGGCCGCGAAGCCCGCGCCACCCCGGUAACCCCGGCGAGGAAACGCGCUCUUUCCUUUUUCUUCUCCCCUCCCCCCUCCCCUUUCUCCCUAGAGGCAGCUCCCGUCCUCUAAAUGCAUUACACACACACACACACACACACACACACACACACACACACACACACACGGGAAAUCUCUGGGGCUCUCCUUUUUCCACCGGUCUCGCCUCCUCCUAACACUGGUGUUGGUCGAACAAGCGCGAAACUCACAGAAGUUUCCCCGAAAACGAACAGCUUUAAAUGCCAGGAGGGAAAAUGUCGGGGGAAAAAGUGGAGGUCGGUGUUUCCCUAAAUGCAAAACAUCAGAGAGGAAUCUGAAAAGAGCUUUACUUUCCCUGCGAAAUCUCCAUUGUUGCUCAGCAAACAAUGGGAGCCUGGGCGACUGGAGGGCUGUGCGAAUGAAUAGGCGAUCCGCGGGAUGUGUGCGGGUCAGUGCCUGGGGUCCCGGGCCUAAAGCCCCUUUCUCAGCUUGCCACAAUAAACCAGCGCAAGGUUUAGUCCUUACUGGGUCACCGGCCAUCCUCUAUUAUUCAACACUUCACAACAAAAAACACUUAUUAAUCAGCGCUGACCAGAGGCCCCUUUUGAAACAAGAGAAGAGGGGAGAGAGAGAGGGAGUGAGAGAGAGAGGGGUGAAAAGAAGAUUGAGAAGCCCUGGACAGAUCUUUCUAAAGCCAGAGCAACCAUGGGGUACUUUCCUCCAGUGGCCAAAGUUUAUUUGACACAACAAAGUUUCUAAUCAGGCCACGGAGACCUGGAUUUCUCCUCAUUUGCCUCACUCCCGGUCUCUUCCUCUGAAGAUGCUGGAGACUUUGUUGCAAGAAAGGAUGGCUUUAGGUCAUGUUGCUGAGGCCUGAUCUUAAAGAUCUAAUUGCUAUUGGAAGAGAAUCCUGUUUCCCAACUGGGCCUCCCCUCUGGAGAUGGAGCAAGGAAGACUGUCCAACUCUGCUCUGGGCACCCUGCUGAUGGAUGAGGUGUCAGGCCAGUCGUCAUGUGAGGACUGGUUUCCAAAUGCAGAUACAAAAAGAAAAAUUACUGUCAUGUGAUGUGUGAUCCAUGAUACCGUCAUAGUUUUGUUCCAAGACCAUCCUCAAGGAGUUUAAUGAAUGUGGCAUCACAAGAAAAAUAUGCAUCAACAUUGAAAAGAAAAGAAAUAAAAUUCCAUUAACAGAGCUUGAGGAAGUGGACUUGACUAAGCUGGAGUAAGGAGUGCAGAGAGUGAGGAGACAGGAUGCGAAACAAGAGAAAGGUGAAAAGACAUCAGUGAGUUGUGAUUUCCUUCAGCAGCGAACGGAUUCCUUUGAGAAGGCUGGUCAGUGGCACAGGCGGCUCACAGACCCACACGGCAGGCCUUGGGCAUUGUACUAACCCCAUGGGUCAUUUCUGCAGACCAGUGCUGGCCAGGCCCUGGACAGAGGGGCCAGGCCUGGCUUCCCCUCCUUGAGUGUCAAGGGUGAAGUGAGAAGAUAACGUU
rnacentral:lncRNA from 10 species